GACAGAGGGGGCAAGCGUUGCUCGGAAUUACUGGGCGUAAAGGGCGCGUAGGCGGGAUGGCAAGUCGGUCGUGAAAUCCCUCGGCUCAACCGAGGAACGUCGAUCGAUACUGCUGUUCUUGAGGAUUGCAGAGGAGACUGGAAUUCCCGGUGUAGCGGUGAAAUGUGUAGAGAUCGGGAGGAACACCGGUGGCGAAGGCGGGUCUCUGGGCAAUUCCUGACGCUGAGGCGCGAAAGCGUGGGUAGCAAACGGG
rnacentral:rRNA from 1 species